GUGGGGAAUCUUGCGCAAUGGGCGAAAGCCUGACGCAGCCAUGCCGCGUGAAUGAUGAAGGUCUUAGGAUUGUAAAAUUCUUUCACCGGGGACGAUAAUGACGGUACCCGGAGAAGAAGCUCCGGCUAACUUCGUGCCAGCAGCCGCGGUAAUACGAAGGGGGCUAGCGUUGCUCGGAAUUACUGGGCGUAAAGGGCGCGUAGGCGGACAGCUUAGUCAGAGGUGAAAGCCCAGGGCUCAACCUUGGAAUUGCCUUUGAUACUGGCUGUCUUGAGUUUGGGAGAGGUGAGUGGAACUCCGAGUGUAGAGGUGAAAUUCGUAGAUAUUCGGAAGAACACCAGUGGCGAAGGCGACUCACUGGCCCAAUACUGACGCUGAGGCGCGAAAGCGUGGGGAGCAAACAGGAUUAGAAACCCGUGAGUCC
rnacentral:rRNA from 1 species